rnacentral:rRNA from 1 species
CAGCCGCCACGGUAAUACGGAGGGAGCUAGCGUUGUUCGGAAUUACUGGGCGUAAAGCGCGCGUAGGCGGCUUUGUAAGUCAGAGGUGAAAGCCUGGAGCUCAACUCCAGAACUGCCUUUGAGACUGCAUCGCUCGAAUCCGGGAGAGGUGAGUGGAAUUCCGAGUGUAGAGGUGAAAUUCGUAGAUAUUCGGAAGAACACCAGUGGCGAAGGCGGCUCACUGGACCGGUAUUGACGCUGAGGUGCGAAAGCGUGGGGAGCAAACAGGAUUAGAUACCCGCGUAGUCCCUGUCUCUUAUAC